rnacentral:rRNA from 1 species
CACGGGGGUUGCGAGCGUUGUCCGGAAUUACUAGGCGUAAAGGGCAGGCAGGCGGAUCCAUAAGCUUAUCGUUUAAGGCGUCGGCUUAACCGGCGUAGGGCGGUAGAUACUGUGGAUCUGGAAUGCGGUUGGGGAAGACAGAAUUCCUGGUGUAGCGGCGGAAUGCGCAGAGAUCAGGAGGAAUACCGAAGGCGAAGGCAGUCUUCCAAGCCGUUAUUGACGCUCAACUCCGAAGGUGUGGGUAUCAAACAGGAUUAGAUACCCCGGUAGUCCCUGAGCGGG